rnacentral:rRNA from 1 species
CCUACGGGAGGCAGCAGUGGGGAAUAUUGCACAAUGGGGGAAACCCUGAUGCAGAGACGCCGCGUGAGUGAAGAAGUAUUUCGGUAUGUAAAGCUCUGUCAGCAGAGAAGAAAAUGACGGUACCUGACCAAGAAGCCCCGGCUAACUACGGGCAAGCAGCCGCGGUAAUACGUAGGGUGCAAGCGUUAUCCGGAUUUACUGGGUGUAAAGGGAGCGUAGACGGAAGGGUAAGUCUGGAGUGAAAGGCGGGGGCUCAACCCCCGGACUGCUCUUGAUACUGCCAGGCUGGAGUGCAGGAGAGGUAAGUGGAAUUCCUAGUGUAGCGGUGAAAUGCGUAGAGAUUAGGAGGAACACCAGUGGCGAAGGCGGCUUACUGGACUGUAACUGACGUUGAGGCUCGAAAGCGUGGGGAGCAAACAGGAUUAGAUACCCCAGUAGUC